AGCGUACACGGUGGAUGCCCUGGCAGUCAGAGGCGAUGAAGGACGUGCUAAUCUGCGAAAAGCGUCGGUAAGGUGAUAUGAACCGUUAUAACCGGCGAUGUCCGAAUGGGGAAACCCAGUGUGAUUCGUCACACUAUCGUUAACUGAAUACAUAGGUUAACGAGGCGAACCGGGGGAACUGAAACAUCUAAGUACCCCGAGGAAAAGAAAUCAACCGAGAUUCCCCCAGUAGCGGCGAGCGAACGGGGAGCAGCCCAGAGUCUGAAUCAGCUUGUGUGUUAGUGGAACGGUCUGGAAAGUCCGACGGUACAGGGUGAUAGUCCCGUACACCAAAAUGCACAGGUUGUGAACUCGAAGAGUAGGGCGGGACACGUGGUAUCCUGUCUGAAUAUGGGGGGACCAUCCUCCAAGGCUAAAUACUCCUGACUGACCGAUAGUGAACCAGUACCGUGAGGGAAAGGCGAAAAGAACCCCGGCGAGGGGAGUGAAAAAGAACCUGAAACCGUGUACGUACAAGCAGUGGGAGCACCUUCGGGUGUGACUGCGUACCUUUUGUAUAAUGGGUCAGCGACUUAUAUUCUGUAGCAAGGUUAACCGUAUAGGGGAGCCGCAGGGAAACCGAGUCUUAACUGGGCGUUAAGUUGCAGGGUAUAGACCCGAAACCCGGUGAUCUAGCCAUGGGCAGGUUGAAGGUUGGGUAACACUAACUGGAGGACCGAACCGACUAAUGUUGAAAAAUUAGCGGAUGACUUGUGGCUGGGGGUGAAAGGCCAAUCAAACCGGGAGAUAGCUGGUUCUCCCCGAAAGCUAUUUAGGUAGCGCCUCGUGAAUUCAUCUUCGGGGGUAGAGCACUGUUUCGGCUAGGGGGUCAUCCCGACUUACCAACCCGAUGCAAACUACGAAUACCGAAGAAUGUUAUCACGGGAGACACACGGCGGGUGCUAACGUCCGUCGUGAAGAGGGAAACAACCCAGACCGCCAGCUAAGGUCCCAAAGUCAUGGUUAAGUGGGAAACGAUGUGGGAAGGCACAGACAGCCAGGAUGUUGGCUUAGAAGCAGCCAUCAUUUAAAGAAAGCGUAAUAGCUCACUGGUCGAGUCGGCCUGCGCGGAAGAUGUAACGGGGCUAAACCAUGCACCGAAGCUGCGGCAGCGACACUAUGUGUUGUUGGGUAGGGGAGCGUUCUGUAAGCCUGCGAAGGUGACCUGUGAGGGUUGCUGGAGGUAUCAGAAGUGCGAAUGCUGACAUAAGUAACGAUAAAGCGGGUGAAAAGCCCGCUCGCCGGAAGACCAAGGGUUCCUGUCCAACGUUAAUCGGGGCAGGGUGAGUCGACCCCUAAGGCGAGGCCGAAAGGCGUAGUCGAUGGGAAACAGGUUAAUAUUCCUGUACUUGGUGUUACUGCGAAGGGGGGACGGAGAAGGCUAUGUUAGCCGGGCGACGGUUGUCCCGGUUUAAGCAUGUAGGCGGAGGUUCCAGGUAAAUCCGGUACCUUUUAACGCUGAGGUGUGAUGACGAGGCACUACGGUGCUGAAGUAACAAAUGCCCUGCUUCCAGGAAAAGCCUCUAAGCAUCAGGUAACAUCAAAUCGUACCCCAAACCGACACAGGUGGUCAGGUAGAGAAUACCAAGGCGCUUGAGAGAACUCGGGUGAAGGAACUAGGCAAAAUGGUGCCGUAACUUCGGGAGAAGGCACGCUGGUGUGUAGGUGAAGUCCCUGCGGAUGGAGCUGAGACCAGUCGAAGAUACCAGCUGGCUGCAACUGUUUAUUAAAAACACAGCACUGUGCAAACACGAAAGUGGACGUAUACGGUGUGACGCCUGCCCGGUGCCGGAAGGUUAAUUGAUGGGGUUAUCCGUAAGGAGAAGCUCUUGAUCGAAGCCCCGGUAAACGGCGGCCGUAACUAUAACGGUCCUAAGGUAGCGAAAUUCCUUGUCGGGUAAGUUCCGACCUGCACGAAUGGCGUAAUGAUGGCCAGGCUGUCUCCACCCGAGACUCAGUGAAAUUGAACUCGCUGUGAAGAUGCAGUGUACCCGCGGCAAGACGGAAAGACCCCGUGAACCUUUACUAUAGCUUGACACUGAACAUUGAGCCUUGAUGUGUAGGAUAGGUGGGAGGCUUUGAAGCGUGGACGCCAGUCUGCGUGGAGCCAACCUUGAAAUACCACCCUUUAAUGUUUGAUGUUCUAACGUUGGCCCCUUACCGGGGUUGCGGACAGUGUCUGGUGGGUAGUUUGACUGGGGCGGUCUCCUCCCAAAGCGUAACGGAGGAGCACGAAGGUUAGCUAAUCCUGGUCGGACAUCAGGAGGUUAGUGCAAUGGCAUAAGCUAGCUUGACUGCGAGCGUGACGGCGCGAGCAGGUGCGAAAGCAGGUCAUAGUGAUCCGGUGGUUCUGAAUGGAAGGGCCAUCGCUCAACGGAUAAAAGGUACUCCGGGGAUAACAGGCUGAUACCGCCCAAGAGUUCAUAUCGACGGCGGUGUUUGGCACCUCGAUGUCGGCUCAUCACAUCCUGGGGCUGAAGUAGGUCCCAAGGGUAUGGCUGUUCGCCAUUUAAAGUGGUACGCGAGCUGGGUUUAGAACGUCGUGAGACAGUUCGGUCCCUAUCUGCCGUGGGCGCUGGAGAAUUGAGGGGGGCUGCUCCUAGUACGAGAGGACCGGAGUGGACGCAUCACUGGUGUUCGGGUUGUCAUGCCAAUGGCACUGCCCGGUAGCUAAAUGCGGAAGAGAUAAGUGCUGAAAGCAUCUAAGCACGAAACUUGCCCCGAGAUGAGUUCU
rnacentral:rRNA from 1 species